GCGCGGUGGUCCCACCUGACCCCAUGCCGAACUCAGAAGUGAAACGCCGUAGCGCCGAUGGUAGUGUGGGGUCUCCCCAUGCGAGAGUAGGGAACUGCCA
rnacentral:rRNA from 1 species